UACAGAGGUCUCAAGCGUUGUUCGGAUUCAUUGGGCGUAAAGGGUGCGUAGGCGGCGCGGUAAGUCGGGUGUGAAAUCUCGGAGCUUAACUCCGAAACUGCAUUCGAUACUGCCUGGCUAGGGUACUGGAGAGGAGACUGGAAUUUACGGUGUAGCAGUGAAAUGCGUAGAUAUCGUAAGGAAGACCAGUGGCGAAGGCGAGUCUCUGGACAGUUACCGACGCUGAGGCACGAAGGUCAGGGGAGCAAACGGG
rnacentral:rRNA from 1 species